AAAGUCAUAUAUAAAAGUUUUUUAGGUUAUUUGACUUAAUGUCAUUAUAUAUGAUUCAAAUGCCAUUUGUUUUGGUGUUUGUUGACGUUCACAAAGUCAAAAUCGCGUCAAAAUACAAAAGUUCCAAAAGUCUGUGAUAUUCGAUAUAUUUUUUUAUUAAAAAGGUUAUAAAACUAAUGAGAAAUUUACCAAGACGAAAUGAAUAUCUUGAUUUGGACGGUCAUAAUAUAGAGUAUCCAGUAAAUCGAACAUCAAGAACCCCAUAUGCCAACAAGACAAACCGCUAUCGAGCUUGACCAAGUUUCCCAACCCCAUAAUCAAGACACAGUCGUUGUCGAACACCUAAAUGGCCAAGACGAUCAUGAUGGUAUUGCUACUUCGGCUGUCGAUAGGGAAACAGAGACGAGUGGAGACACCCUUGAGGGGCAAGAGCAUCGAGUGAUCUUUAUCAAUAGGGCACAACCUCCCGUGGCCAAGUACUGUAAUAAUAGGAUAUCAACAGCCAAAUAUAGCAUUAUAAGAUUUGUACCACUUUUUCUAUUCGAGCAGUUUCGAAGAUGGGCGAACAUAUUUUUUCUCAUGAUUGCUCUACUUCAACAGAUACCAGAUGUCUCCCCGACAGGGAGAUACACCACUUUAGUGCCUCUGAUCUUCAUCUUGGCAGUGUCAGCGGUCAAAGAAAUUAUUGAGGACAUAAAAAGACAUAGAGCUGAUGAUGAAACAAAUCACAGAAAAGUGGAAGUUCUAAGAGGAGACGUUUGGAUUAACGUACGAUGGAUGGAUGUCAUAGUUGGCGACAUCGUCAAAGUGGUAAACAACACUUUUUUUCCAGCCGACUUAGUGUUACUUUCGUCCAGCGAACCCCAAAGCAUGAGUUUUAUCGAAACGGCUAAUUUGGACGGCGAAACUAAUUUAAAAAUUCGCCAAGCUCUGCCUAGCACAUCAAAAUUGACAGCGAUACAUGAGUUGAAGCAAUUAAGCGGCACGUUAGAGUGUGAGCCGCCCAAUAGGCACUUAUAUGAAUUCAACGGCGUAUUGAAGGAAUACAAUAAACCUCAUGAACCUUUGGGUCCAGACCAAAUUCUACUCAGGGGAGCCAUGUUGCGUAAUACCGCUUGGAUUUUUGGUUUAGUAAUUUACACUGGUCACGAAACAAAACUAAUGCGUAACUCCACCAAGGCCCCUUUGAAAAGGUCAACCAUAGAUAAAAUGACAAACAUUCAAAUUUUGCUGUUAUUUGGACUGUUAUUCAUCAUGUGUUUGAUUUGCACAGUAUUUAAUGUGAUUUGGACAAGUGCCAAUGGAACAAAUCAUUUUUAUAUUGGAUUACAAGAUACUGAAAAUGUUUUAUACACUUUCUUGACUUUUUUGAUUUUAUUCAACAAUCUUAUUCCCAUAUCUCUACAAGUAACGUUAGAAGUAGUAAGAUUCAUACAAGCUAUAUUUAUAAAUACUGAUAUAGAGAUGUAUCAUGCAGAAACUGAUACACCAGCUAUGGCUAGAACGUCCAAUUUAAAUGAAGAACUUGGGCAGGUGAAAUAUAUUUUUUCAGAUAAAACGGGCACCUUAACCAGAAAUAUUAUGGAAUUUAAGAGGUGUGCUGUUGGACACGAAAUUUAUAGACCAGGAGAUACGCCUGAUGAUUCGUUACUAGUACAACAUUUGAAAGAGAAACAUAAAAACGCCGAAUUGAUCAAAGAUCUUCUCAUUUUACUGUCAGUCUGUCAUACGGUAAUUCCUGAAAAAAUGCCUGACGGUACUAUGGUUUACCACGCCGCUUCUCCCGAUGAAAGAGCUUUGGUAAAUGGCGCUGCUAAGUUUGGUUAUGUAUUUGAAAGUAGGACGCCCGAUUACGUGGAUAUUAUGGCAUUAGGUGUUAAAGAACGUUAUGAAGUAUUGACAGUAUUAGAAUUUACAUCAGCUAGAAAGCGGAUGUCUGUAAUUGUAAAGGACCCUCAAGGCAAAAUUAAGCUUUAUUGUAAAGGCGCCGAUACUGUGAUAUAUGAAAGACUAGAUAAUAAUGCGUCAUCUAGAGAAUACAAAGAGCUACUGCUGCAACAUUUAGAAUCAUUUGCAACGGAAGGUUUGCGAACAUUAUGCUGCGCUGUCACGGAAUUAAAGAAAGGCGAUUACGACGAUUGGAAACAGUCAUAUCACCGAGCUUGUUGCAGUAUUCAACAUAGGGAAGAGAAAAUCGAGGAAGCUGCUAAUUUGAUAGAAAGAAAACUAAAACUUAUCGGCGCCACCGCUAUAGAAGACAAAUUACAAGAAGGUGUACCUGAAACUAUAGCCACAUUACUUAAAGCAGAUAUAAAUAUUUGGGUACUUACGGGAGACAAACAGGAAACAGCAAUUAAUAUUGGAUAUUCGUGCAAGUUGAUAUCUCAGGGCAUGCAAAUUAUUAUACUGAAUGAGGAUGGAUUAGAUAGUGUUAGAGAAGCAAUUCUGAGACAUUGUGAUGAAUUGGGUGAAAAUUUAGAAAAGCAGAAUGAAAUUGCUUUAGUUAUCGAUGGCAAAACACUUAAAUAUGCGUUAACGUGUGAGCUACGAACAGACUUUCUAAAGUUAUGCAUAUCUUGCAAGGUUGUCGUAUGCUGUCGGGUAUCGCCAAUGCAAAAAGCCGAAGUUGUCGAAUAUGUCACGAAACACACUCAAUCUGUCACUCUGGCAAUCGGCGAUGGGGCUAAUGACGUUGCCAUGAUUCAAAAAGCCCACGUCGGAGUUGGCAUAUCGGGAGUAGAAGGGUUACAAGCGGCCUGUGCCAGUGAUUAUAGCAUAGCACAGUUCAGAUUUUUAUUGCGGUUAUUGUUGGUGCACGGCGCUUGGAACUACUCUAGAAUGUGCAAGCUGAUUUUGUAUAGUUUUUACAAAAAUAUCUGUCUCUAUGUUAUUGAAUUGUGGUUCGCUAUCUAUUCUGGAUGGUCGGGGCAGAUUGUUUUUGAAAGAUGGUCUAUAGGUUUAUAUAAUGUGCUUUUUACUGCGUUACCGCCGUUGGCGAUGGGACUGUUUGACAGGAGUUGUAGCGCUGAGAGGAUGAUGUCAUUUCCGGAGUUGUACAAGCCGUCUCAAAGCGGUGAACUAUUUAAUAUAAAAGUAUUUUGGUUAUGGAUUAUAAACUCGUUAGUGCAUUCGGCGUUAUUAUUUUGGCUGCCUAUGUUGGCAGCGCGUUAUGAUAUAUUAUGGAUAAGCGGAAAAGAAGGAGGGUAUUUAGUGUUUGGAAAUUGUGUUUACACCUAUGUUGUCGUCACUGUUUGUUUGAAAGCUGGUUUGAUAACAAAUUAUUGGCCUUGGCCGACACAUUGUGCUAUAUGGGGAUCAAUAGUUCUAUGGUUUUUGUUUGUCAUAAUUUAUAGUUUGUUUUGGCCUACAAUUCCAAUCGGUAGUGUCAUGUGCGGGAUGUACAUCAUGUUAUUCUCCACGGCUGUAUUUUGGCUGGGAUUGUUUGCGAUACCUGUGAUCACAAUUGUACCAGACUUUGUAACCAAAGUAAUUAUGGGUACUGUAUUUAAGACUCCAACAGAUAUAAUAAGAGAAAGUGAAAUAAGAAAGAGGGAUCCAGAUGUGUACAGGGGGGACUCGAAAAAUUCACCCAUGCAUGCGUUGGAGCAGUUUGCGAUAUACUGUCUGAGACUGCGAGGUUGCUGAAAAACGUCUUCUUCAGGCGCACGCCCAGAAUAGAGCAAGACGUUGAACUGGCCCAUGGCUUCGCAUUUUCACAAGAAGAGGGAGGUGCUGUUUCUCAAACGGACGUUAUCAGAGCUUAUGACACAAACAUACCUAAACCCGAUGGAAUGUAAAUUCUUAAGGUAGAGAAAGAAAAUGCAGAACCAGAGUAGGAAUACUAAAUUUAAAAGAAUCAAAUUAUUAAGACCUAUUUAUUAUUGUUGAAAAAAAUCACCAAAGCUUGAAAGGCUGGGUUUAGAUAUUUAUUGAAGAGUAUUAAGAAAUUGAAUGAUGUUUAUAUGGUUUAGGAUGUCAGUGUAUGAAUGAAAAUAUAUUUACGUUAAGCUUCAUUGAGACCCUCGCAGUUAGUAGAAUAAAUCAGUGGUUCCAAUUACACUUUAUACUUUUUAGUUUACGAUCAUUCACAAUGUCUAAAAAACACAAUUAAAAUUAACAGAAUAUCCUAGCAACAGCUUGAGGUAGUCAGUUUGGUUUGGUUUGGUUAGGUUGUAGUAGGUAGAGUUGUAUCUAUAGAGAAAGCCUAAUAUUUAGCUUAUAAAACAAUAAGCUUUUGAUUUCUAACCACAAUUUCUCUUUACGGAUGAUAAUAAAAAGCCAAAAUGACAUUACUCACAAAUUUUGAAGUAUAAUUAGUGGAAAAGUUCAAAAUUUGUUUACCACUAAUGAUGCUCUCAGUGCUUACAUUGAUACAAGAGGAACAAACUUCUACGCUAAUUGAAACCACUAACUUAUUCCACUAAUUGCGAAGUUUAAGAAUGAAGCUUUAAGCUAAAUCAAGAAUUUAUUUAAAUUAAUAUUAUAUUAUUAAUAUACAAGUUAUUAUUAUCACAAAAUUGCACUUAUUUUGAAGUUCACAAAAAGUUAUGUUUUAAACUAUGGGAUAUUUACGGAAUGAAGUUUUUCAUUAAGCUUGAUCUUUUUUAAUUGAAAAAGAUGGACGUUAGUGAAAACAUCUUAUACAACAAACAGGUCAUUUCAAAAACAUGUUUGCCUACUUUUUAUUCAUCUACUGGUACCUGUCAAAUAACAAAUUCUAUUUAAUUAUGAUAUUAGAAAAUUAUUAUUGAUAUAAUCAAAAAUCUUGAGCAUUAUUACUUAAACAUAACGUAUAUCAGAUAAAGUUGAACUGAAGUUCUAGAUAGUGACAUGAUCAAGUGUUUCUGUAAUAGCUAUAGUAAAUUUCAAAGUAAAAUAUAUUUUAUUGGCGUUGAUAUAAAGCUAAUGUUUUUGAAGUGCCCUGUAUAUUUCAAUUUUCCAUGUGCCUUUCACAUAUUUAGUUUUUAUAUAUCUAAUAUACACAUAUAUAUUGAAAAUGUUUGAUAUCAAAAGUAGAUUAUAUUUGGGAAAUGCAUAUUUAUGAAGUAACACUACUGGCUGCACUAAUACAAUUGACUAACAGACGUCUUAUGACUACGUAGAAAAAAUACUAUAAGUUAUCUGGAAACAAUCAUAUUUAGGAAUGUGAUUUUAUAUUGUUACUUUGUAAAUAAAACUUAGUUUUCAUAUCCGUAUAACUGUUUUAUAUGAUUGCCUUUGUUAGGAAAUAUUCAAAGAAAACUAUUGACUUACCAAUCAAAAAGGUUGAACUUUAGUUAUGUAUUUACAGAGUUUCCAAGAUUACCUAUGUCAGAAUAUUACUAUCGUAUUAAUUACAGGGUUUGUUAAGAUAAAAAAAAGUAGAGUAGAAUUAAAAGUUUAAAAAAAUAUAUUGUUUCUAAUUUCUGUUCUAUUUUAUAUUGGUAACUCUAUAACUGCGUCAAUAUUUUUUAACUAACGAUGAUUAAAGGAAAACCUGUUAAAAUAUAGUUUUCUAUCCAGGGUAUAAAUAAAUGAGGGUAAGAAAUUACUUUUUGAAAAAUAAAAUUCAUUUUUUUUCGUGAAAAAUUUUUGAUUUGCCUACGUAACAAUACCUACCCUACAAAGUUGUUUGAUUAUACAGGGUGUAUUUGUAUAAACAGUUUUACCAGGCAAAGUCACAUGUCAUAUUACUAGAUCUCUACUUGUAGUUGAAAAUAUUGACAAGCAAUUACAAUUUUUUUAGUUUAAUUCAUGUGAAGUUCUAAUGUAACUACUAAUGCAUUUUAUUUUAUUGCUUAAGUGCUUUAUACGAAACUAGUAUUUUUAGAAAACGGCAAAUCUAAAAUACUAUAAAAUAAAACUAAUAAAAGAUAUCACCUGCUUUUUUAGACUUACUUAUUAAGCCCUGUACAGCUUUCUCUGGCAAUCUAUUAAAUCGGGUUUAAACUAAGUUGAAGUCUGAUAGAUACAUAGACUUAGGUGUCAAAGAAUUAAGCUAAAUAAGAAUGUUUAGUGGUAUAUGUUUGUGAUGAAUUAUGUAAGGUUUUAGAUUCACUAUAAUAGAUACCGUAUGAUCGAGAAAAAACGGCGUCAGCGAUGGCUAUGGAAUGAAGAUCGCUGUCAUUUUAUAUGUAAAUUUAUAUGGGAAAUGUCAUCGAUGUUCAUUUCCCAGCCAACUGGACGCCGUUUUUUUUUCGAUCAUACGGUAUUUUAGAGUGAAAACAACUUAUCGUACCUCUGUUAAAGAAUUAUUGUAUAUAUUAAAAAAAGUGUAUUUAUAUAUGUAUGUAGGUACAAAGACAAUUUACGAUUCUCUAUAUAAUCUGUUAGUGAAUAUUAAUAUUUUUUGAUUACUCUAUUGUAACACGAUUCCAAAAAUUAAAAUAUACCGCUAAAUCUUUUGUUUUACUAUUUUGGGAAAUAUUGUUUUUUUCAAAUCGAAAAUACACUUUUUUGAAUUAGUAUACUUUGAAAUUGUGUAGUAAAAAUCUGCUGGAAUACAAAACAUAUUUUUUUUGUUAUGAUUAUAUAAAAUGCAUCACAAUACUAUAAUUUGGUUAUUUUUAAAUAUUUUUUAAUUAAAAAUAUUAUAUAAUAUAAGAGGAACUAAAUAGUUUUUUAUUUUAUUUUUAAUCUUUAAAUGUUUUAGUGAAUAUUACUAGGUAGGGUUACCUAAGAAUAUAUUUCUAGCUGAAAUUACAGCUUAUCAAAGUUUGAAUAUGGGAGAUGCAACAUUUAUUGGCGGUAACUUUGAUAUUUUUGUAUAGGAACUGUCACUCCAGAGUAAAAAAUGAAUACCUUCAUAUCGUGGCGGUAAAUUCAAGUAACGCAACAAUUGUAGGCAAAUUGAUAGUUCGACAACUGUUUGAAUUAAAUUGUUUAUCGAUUUUAAACAAACUAAACUAAAAACUAAGCGUCAAAAUCCAGAAGCUUAUGAACGGUUACGUUGUCAGGAUUAUACAUAUAUUAUAUGGAAUUAUAUUUUAGAAAACUAGCAUAUUAGAAAGAAUAAAUGUAUAUUUUAAUAAUACAAGUAUUAGCUAGUCAUUUAUCAUCGUAAAUGUUUAAAUCUAUAUAUUUACUUUCUAUUUAAAUUCACGUUACCUAGUUUUGUAAUUUUCUUUAUCUUUAAUACAUUGAUGUAAAUUAUUCAACCAAAAUAUUCAACGAAAAUUAUUUAAUUAUUUGUGAAGUAUUUUAUAUAUUUUAUAUCAAACUUUAGUUUUGUCUGAAUUAAAGUAACUGUUUUGUUAUUCCCCUUUAUUUCUAUUUUUUCGAUGCUAAAUUGUGAUCAGUGUGACUACUUAUUUAGCUACGCAAUGACUUUUGGUUAAGAUUCCUUAAAUUGUUGAAAAUAAAUGUGGUAUUUAUUUGUUUCAA
rnacentral:misc_RNA from 1 species